ensembl:lncRNA
CUUUAUGAGGGAUCUUUUUCUUAAAUACUUUGAAAUGGGAAGACUGUUUUGAGACAGGGUUUCCCUGUGUAGCCUUGGCUAUCCUGGAACUCCAUAGACCAGGCUGGCCUCGAACUCACAGAGAUCCACCUGAGAUUAAAGGCAUUCAACCACCAUGUCCAGUCAGGAAGACUGUCUUAAUUAGGGUUACAAUUGCUGUGUUCAAACACCAUGACCAAAAACAACUUUGGGAGGGAAAGGGCUUAUCUCACAGCUCCAUAUAAUGGUUCAUCAUCAAAAGUAGUGAGGACAGGAACCUAGAUCCAGGAACUGAUGCAGUAGCCAUGAAGGGGUGCUGCUUAUUGAGUUGCUUCCCAUGACAUGCUGGCAUGCUCAGCCUUGCCUUUUGUUUUUUCAAGACAGAGUUUCUCUGUGUAGCCCUGGCUAUCCUGGAACUCUCUGGAGUCCAGGCUGACCUCAAAACUCAGAGUUCCACCUGCUUCUGCCUCUGGAGUGCUGGGAUUAAAGAUAUGCAUCACCACCCAGGAGAGGGCCACAUCAGUCACUAAGAAAAUGCCCAAGCUGGGCAGUGGUGGUGCAUACCUUUAAUCAAUUGAGAUUCCUUCCUCAGAAGGAAUGUAUUAAUCUACGAUUUUUUUGUUGUUGUACAAUGACAAGCUCUUUCACAUCUAGAGAGACAAGAUUUUGUAAAUGAGGACUUUGUCCUUUUUAUGCUUUCUAUACACAACAGAAUUUUUUAAAAGUGGGGGAGGGGUGUUACUGAGGUAAAAGGCAAAAUCAUGGCAAUUCUUGAGAGAACAUCCCUUCCCAGUAAGGGAUGAGGGUGUGAGGAGAAAAGAACAGGCAAAGGAAAAAUCUUUGAAGGAGCAAGUCUGGAGGACUGUCCAUGUAUUCCAAUUAUGGAUGAGGGAGAGAGGUGAAUGGGACUCCAGAAUUCUCACAGGACAGAGAAAGUGGCUCCAAUCUCUAGAGGAACAUGAUGAGCUGACCUGACACAAGAAGUGAGACCCAAGGCUCCUGGAGAGUAAUUGGUCUAUAGCAGAGCCUGGUCUUUGGUCUUCAGUUGCCAGGCCCAAAGAUCCAAGGGAGGCUAGGUGCCCUCAGGGAAGCUAUGCCCUAGGGAGAGCCUGAUGUCCAGUGGCCCUCUGGGUGACAUUUAGGGCACACUUGGGUAGGUAGGUCUGCAAGGAUUGGGGCAGGCAUGGGCCAAGUGACCUUCCUUGCCACACUUGAAGCAAGAGACUGGUGGUGCCUUCUGACCUAGCAUCCCCUUUCUUUAUGGUGCCCUAGCGAGAGUUUGUUGGAGAGCCUUAGCCAAGAGUGGGUACCUGUGGCUUUGGUUGUGCUCACCACAAUUAUGAAAGACUGAAUACCAGGGCCAGGAUUUCAGCCUGGGGUAUAAGUGUAAGUGGGCCUUGGUCCCAUUUGAGUUUGGCCCUAUGUCUGGGUAGGAAUGGGCAAAAAAGUAGAUCAUAAGGAAUUUGUCUUAGGGUUUCAUUUCUGUAAAGAGACCUCAUGACUGUUGCAAAUCUUAUAAGGAAAACAUUUGAGAGGGCUCACACAGUUUCAGUUCAGUCCCUUAUCACGGCAGGGAGCAGGCAGACAUGGUGCUGGAGGAAUAGCUGAGUGUCCUACAUCUGGCAGGCAUCAUAAAGUCGACCAAAACACGGCAGUAUCCUGAGCACAGGAAACCUCAAAGUCCACCACCCCCCAACCCCAGUGGCACACUUCCUCCAACAAUGCCACACCUCCUAGUAGUGCCACUCCCAAUGAGAUUAUGGGGGCCAAUUAUAACUACCACAGAGUUGUUAGCCAUCUGGGGUUUCUGGGUCCAGGUUUGGAUGCUGGAGCAGGACCUGUGUAAGGUGUUGGAGGAACUGAAAAGGAUUUUCAAAUUUGUCCUGAACUACUCCAGGAUAUGUUGAAAGUUAAUUUGCUUAAAGUAUCUCAGACAAGAAAGAAGACAAGUAGUGAGACAAUCUCUGGCCUAGCAAUUAAGUGUGUUUUAGUUCCAGUUGGGAUCUAUGUCAGGAACUAUGGCUCCACUCCAGGUGGGUUUGAUCUGUUUGGUGUAUCAUAUCUGUAUGUUCAUGUGCUUUCUCCCAGACAUGUCUAUGUUCCUCGGAGAGCAGGUUAUUAGAAUUAGUCAUGUAGAGAUCAUAGAAGGUGAGGUCAUAGGACUGGGUUAGGUAUUGGAAUUUUUUGAUGAGGGCGGUGGAGUCUGAGGUAAAGGAACCCAGACAUUUUUCAUCCUGGGCAUAUCCAUUAAGAGGGAAAGAGACAUGGAUGUGAAUAGGGUCAUCUAUCCCUGCUACUUCCCUAAGGGGUAGCAUUGGGGCAGGGGCUGAGAGCAGCUUAUCACAGAAGAGAGUGGAGAGAACCAAAAAAGAGAGCUAGAAUAUUCCCUAAGGGAGCCAUAUUGAGAAGCAGAGGUGGAGGAAGCAGAGGCAGGAUUUGGAGGAACAGAGGUGAAGUCUAAGCAGAUGGAGGAGAGCAGAGAGUGACAGAUAUGGGAGAGUGAAGAGAAGGCAGGAGGAGAAUAAGGACACAGAGGAGGGCCAUCUGCGGGAUCAAAAGACUGGCUUUCAGUUUCAGAAGCAGAACUGGGAGGUGAGGUGGAAGAUGCAAGGGUGAGGAGGAGGUGGGAAGGUGAGCACGAGGCACAGAAAGAAGGUUUGGAGCAAAGAGCAGAGCAAGCAGAGAGACAAGGGACCUCUUUCCAGUUUCCUGCACACACACAAAAGUUAUAAAGAUCCCACAUGAUGUUAGGAUCAAGGGAGCAGUUAGGCGGCCAUUUCAAAUGGUCCAAGGAGACAUUCAGGACCUGUGGACAAGAUUUUCAGACUUUUAGGGACAGACACAGGAUUCUAUCCGAGUAGCCACCAAAAGUGAAAGGAAAACUGCCAGCCAAGCCAAACUGAAUGGAAUGUGCCUAACAGCUGUCCAAGGGAGUCCGCCAUAACCAAUGAAGGUUGUGGUGGGGUGCAGACUUCCCAUUCCCAUAGGACAGAGCAGGAAUGCUGGACACUCAGCAGCUGUCACUUGGUGAUGUGGGGACUGUUUAGGAAGUGAAGGUGGGGAACUUAACACUCAGCUGACGUUGGAUGAGGAGAUGGUGAGUCAGGAGGACUGGAAAGUAUGGGAAAAGGGCUGGGGAGCAUUACUGGCCAAACUGAGUCAUAGAGCCAAAGUUGGUCAAUUCUGACUGAGUAUUUUAAUUAAGGUAAUCAAAAUAAUGAAUUUUGAUUGUUGGACCUUGAUGUUUUGAUAACUGGAUGUCCGUGAGCUGUCUCAGGAGUGAGUUAACCAUGGCAAAGUAGCCAAAUAAGGGAAUUGACCUUGGUGGCUACCUUUAGGAAUCUAAUCUAACGGUUUAGCACAGGAGAGGAAAGGGGAAAGGGCAGGGGAGAGGAAAGGGCAAAGUACCAUGUUUGCCAUGCUCAGGUCUGCUAGAGCCCUUCACAGACACAGGAAUGUUGCAGGCCCAGAGACUAAUUACCUUAGC